rnacentral:lncRNA from 1 species
AAAAAAAAAAAAGUAAGGGACAUAUCUGGCACAAGUAUCAGGAGAUAUUCUAAUGAGCAUGGGGCUUGCUCAAGUUAAUAACAACACACUCAAGGAAACCAUUCUGGUAGUCAUCUAUAAAAAACAAAAAUAAACAAAAAAUAAACACACAUUGGAACAGAAACUGCUAUGAGGAAUUAACCAAGUCAAAUCAGCUCCUUCAUUUUUGCCUUUUUUUUAACAAUAAUGAAUUUAUUAAAGAGCAGAAGAUAUGGCAAAAGGUAAGCAAGCAAGACAACAAAGGGUGGACCCUUGGUAAGCCAUCUGCCAAAGCAAUAAAGUUCCAAGCAUAGGUAAGGAAACAGGAAAAAUAUUAUACUAGAUAUAUAAGAUUUAUGAAUAUCUAUGGGAUCAUGACACCUGAAGCUAUUUGUGUACCAUACGUUCCUAAGAUUAACCAAGCAAUAGAUUUGUGAUCCCACAGAUGCUGGCAUGCUCAGUGGGUGGCAUCUCACUUGUAAGUGUGAAAAUAAGAUGUCAAAAGAGAGGAUGAGAGAAAACAAUCUUUCAUAUUCUCUAAGAGAAUAUUUAAAAAAGAUUUAUUGAUAACCACUUGGCAACCGCUUAUUUCAUAGUUUGCUCCCCUCCUUGCCAACCAAUUACAAGAAAGCUUCUUUCAAUCUCUUUGGAUGAGCGGUUACUCCCAUCUUUGAAGAACAAUUUCGUAGUUUUUCUAAAAACUAUCUGUAAAACCUGCUUGAGAAUUUACCAAUUACAAGAAAGCUUCUUUUAAUCUCUUUGGAUAAGUAGUUACUCCCAUUUUUGAAGAACAAUUUCAUAGUUUUUCAAACCACUAAAAGCUGUAAGAACCUGCUUGAGAAUUUAGGAUCAUAACACAGCAAGAGCCAUUAGAUUCCAAGUGUUGCUUAUACAACUGUGAGAUCAUAAGUUGCUUCCAUUAGAUUGUAAAUAUGGUUUCUAAACCAUCAUAUUGUAAGUGAACUUGUUAUAGCCUUUAGAUUACAAGAUUCAUGCUAUUGAUUCAACAAAAUCAAUUGGAUCAUAAGUAAAGCCUUCAGUAAAUGUAGGAUGAUAAGUUUCAUCCAAUAAAUAAACCAGAUAAAUAAAUUGGUCCAUUAAUUAAUCCACAGGGCUUGUAGAACCGCAUUGUUCCAUUGAUUGAUCCCGCAGGGCUUUUAGAGCUAUUUGAUCAUAGGUUACCAAUUAAAUGAACCAAACAGCUUUAUGUGGUCCAUUGAUUGAUCUGCAAGGCUUUUAGAACCAUUAGAUCGUCAAUGGCUUUAGUUAAAUAAACCAAAUGACUUGAUCUGGUCCAUUGAUUAAGAGCUUUUAGAGUCAUUGAGUCAUGAAUUUAGUUAAAUAAACCAAACAACUUAAUCUGAUCCAUUGAUUGAUCCGCAUGGUUUUCAUAAGUUAUUUUAAAUAGAUGGAUCACACAAAUUUAUCUAGUCCAUCCAUUGACCCAUAAGGCUUUCAGACCCAUCAAAUCAUAAGUUCCUUUUGUCAGUUAAUGGUAAUAUGGCCUAAUGUGCCUCCUUCAUCCAUCAAUAUAGGGAUUUUUUUUAAGUCAACGGGUUAUAUGUUUCAUCUAUUAAAAUAAAUAAAGCUAUUGAAUUCACGCCAUCUAUUCGUUAGAAAGAUCCUAAUGACUCUGCCUCCUUCAUCCAUCAAUAUAGGGAUUUUUUUUAAGUCAACGGGUUAUAUGUUUCAUCUAUUAAAAUAAAUAAAGCUAUUGAAUUCAAGCCAUUUAUUCAUUAGAAAGAUCCUAAUGACCAUUGGAUGAUUAGUUUCGUAUAUACGAAGAUUAGAUAUAAAUCCAAACCAUCUAUAUCAUCACAGCAGUUGGAUUUCAUGAAUCUGGUUACCAAAUCAUCCCAAACAAUAACAUUUCCAAAAUGUCACAUGUUAGUGGUGCUAACAGCCUAUUAGUUAAUGUUGUUGAUAAAUACUGAACGUUUAACAGUAGAUUAGGUUUAAAAUCAUUUUAAAAUCAAAGCACAAUGAAUCAAAGAUAGUCAAAUUAAAUUUCAAACUGCCUCUGGCCCUCUAUCAUUAUUCACAAACCAUCUCGAAUUGAAUGAUUUGGGGCAUGCCAAACUGUACCGGCAACCUAUCGGUAUGGUUUAGACGGUCGAUUCGGAACACUGGCGAAAAGUAAUCGAGGGAGAAGGAAAGAGAGGAAGAGAGAGAGGGGGAAGGGAAGGAGAGGAAAAAGCUGGUGGUGGCCCACCGAGGUUACCGGAGGACCGCCGAGGCCUCCAGAACUUUGCCCUCCUCCAAGAGAGAAUAAAGAGAGAUAAAGAGAGGGGAAGGAGGAAAAUGGAUAGAGGGGAAGGCAGUGGGGAGGCCACUGAGGCCCCCAAACGAUCGAAAUCGACUCCAUGGUAUCUAUGAGGUCGAAACAAGAGCAACCCGCCCCUAUUUCAUGGCAAUUUUUUUUUCUUUUGUGUGAUGUACAAUGAAGUCAGCAAUCCUCUUGGCAACCCUCUAAUGGCCUCCCCACCGCCUUCCCCUCUGUCCAUUUCACUCCCUCCCCCCCUCUCUCUAUUUUCCUCUCUCGGAGGACAGAGCCCCGAAGGCCUCAAUGACCCUCUGAGAGCCUCCACGACCCACUAGUGGCCAUUGCCGGUGUCUCUACCAGCCUUCCUUUCCUUCCCUCCCUCCCCCCCCCCCAAUCUUUUCCUCUCCGGUUCUCCCUUCCCUCGCUUUCAUUUUUGUAUCAGUUCGGACCCCAUAUGAUCCGAUACGGGGGCAUACCGACCUAUACCGCCGUCUGGCCGGCAUGGGGUUUGGUUCCGAAUCAGCAAACCUUGGCCUCUAUAUUUAGAUCUUAAGAUAUUGAUCCCAAGAAACUGCAGAGCAUGUACCAGAAGAUUUCUUAAGUCAAGUAUCAUGCAUAUCUCUGGGAUUGGUCAAGUUGCUGGUGGGUGCAAACCUUGUCAGAAAUGGAUGAAAUCUAAGCCUACCCAACUCAUGUAACACCAAAGCCUUGAUAACUGCUCCAAUUUUUUUUUCUUAAUAGCAUGAAAGAAAAUUGUAGAAUCACAAGAUUUUAACUUUGUAGGUAAAUGAUUUGAGUAAUUACUGAGAAUGGAACCAAAAAGAUUGACAUGAUUUUGAAUUCCUGAUACUGUUGAGAGAGAAACUCAACCCAGGUUUCUAGUUGGUCAAUGGCUAUGACAUGAAUCCUUCAGUGCGACAGUGCACAAAAUUAGCUUAUGACUUGUCAAAAGAAAAACUUAUCAAGACAAACAGACAUUGUGCAAUGGUUGAAGCACAUAGAAAGUAGCUUAAGUGCGUUUCUUAUUGGAAAGCAGAAACUCCAGAAAAGAUUAAAAGCUUCUCCUGGCUAUAAUCAAAAACAAAAUCCAUGCUAAGGAAAAUAAGAAAUUAUGGCCAGAAAAGGAUGAGUUAUCCCAAGUGGUUUUUUCUGUGACUAUCCUGAGAAAACUUGUGGGACAUCAUCUUCUGGACUGUAGGAUUGUUACAAGAUUGCUGAAACUCAAACUUGGGGUCCAAGGUCAUGCUCCAUCCCUCCUCUAAUUAUGGACUGAGUGGAGAAGAAGAGUUCCAACUGCCUAACCCUAUUGCACUUGGUUGGGAUCAACUGGUUCUGGCUACUUGUUGGUGCGUGCAGAGGGAGAAAUAGCAGCAUUUGCUUGAGCAGAAAGCAUCAAAGAAUCACCUUCCCAAAUUUUUGAAGAGUAUUAUCAGCUUAGCCAAUGAAUGGAAGAACUGCUGUAACUCUAAGAACCUACUAAGCUUUGAGAGGGUUAUUCAGCUAUUAGAGGUGUAACGUGGUGAUACUUUUCUACCUCCCCAUGGGGUUUGUUGUAUUCUUUUUAUUCUUUAAUAAAUAGUGGACUUUGGCCCUCCUUUUUCCUUCCCAAAAAGCAGAAAAAAAAAAAAGACAACAAGUUGCUUAUGCUCAACCAUGUACAAACAAACCAAAGAACAAUUAACCAAUCCACACUUGUGAAUAGAAACUUAUGCAUGAUUCAUUUCUUGCUAUGGAUGGUUACUUUGGCACUAAAAGAAUCUGCGACAAAAUUCUGCCAUAAUGUUUUUAAGCAUAAAUAAAAUUUAAAGUACAGUAACAAAAGAGACCAGUUUACGUUUUGCAUGCCUUGUAUUUAGUCUUAUACAAUGUUUAAAAAUAGAUGCAACAUGGGCCAUUCAUGCAGUUGCUUAAGCAAAGCGCAUCUCUAGACAGGUGAGCUACACCAUAAUGAAAUUCUUACCUUUCCGAUUCAAAAAUCCAGCAUGUUUCUUAAGCAGCUCUCUUGACUUGCAUGCAAGCCUCUCCUUCAAACUUAACUAGUAACUACCAUUUCGAAUUAACUAUCAAUAGUCAUUAGAUUUAUAAACAUAAUAAGUUGACAACAUUGAUGGAAUUGUUUCUCUUGCAACACUAAACAUAUUACACAAAAAUCUCUCAAUAUCUAAGCAUGUUAUUCAUCUCAUAGACAUGUUAUAUACCUCAAUGCAAAACAAACUUCAAAGCACUUAAUUGUUUCUCAUUUCUCAAGCUCUGUAGCACCGGAACCGGCACCCAUGCUGGUAGGCCAGCAGUAUGGUACGGUAUGAUAUUGUGCCAUGGCGUUCUAGCAUGUACCGAUGAACGAAAACCAGAGAAGGAGAAGGAAAGAGGGAAAAAGAGAGAGAGGAGGGCAUGGGAGAGGAAGGGAGGGAGCGAGAGAGAGAGGGAGAGAAAGAGAGGGCUUUAGAGACCCCUCUCCUCUGACACUGUGUAACAAGGACUCCACCCAUGCUAUGUUUAGAGAGAGGGAGAGGGAGGGAAGGGGGGAGAGAGGUGGACGAAGUCCUCCAACUCCACUAUUUUGAAUGAAACAGGCGCCAAGAGCCUUUUUUCAUUUUUCGAAGACUUAAGUGAAGUCGGCAAGCCAUGUUGGCUUCACUUAAGUCUUCAAAAAUUAAAAAGGGGUCUCCGACCCUUGCUUCAUUCGAAAUAGGGGAGUUGGAAGCCUCUCUCUCUCUCUCGCCCCACCCCCCCCCUUCCUUUCCUUUUUCUCCCUCCNNNNNNNNNNNNNNNNNNNNCUCUCUCUCUCUCGCCACCCCCCCCCCCUCCUCCUUUUUUUCUCCCUCUCCCCCUCCCUCGUUGGUUUCUCGAACUAAGGGGUGGAACCAUGCUGGUCUGCCCCAAUAUGGCUCAAUAUGGCCCAAACUGGAUACCACCUUGACUCCACUAGACAAAGGCAACAAUUUUUGUAAUCAUAUAAUAUAUAUCAAUAUAUUUAUCUUUCUUUGUAUCUACAUAUCAUAUCUUCUAGGCAAGCAGCUUACAUCUUUAAUAUUUCAACUAAUAAUUAACAUGGUUGACAAAAAAGACAACACCAAAUGAGCUUCGAGAACUAGGAUAUUAUAAUAGUCAAAAAGGAAAUUGCAUUAACCAAGAAUUUGACUAGAUAUAGGAUAUUUACCAGCAAAAUUGCUUCCACACUUGUACGCAUACCUUCUUUCAUGUAACUGCCAUCCAAAACAAAGAGGAAUCAAAUGUCAACCACAUAGAAGCAACAUUCUUAAUCCUUCCCAUAUCCAAAUUGUCUUGUCAACAAUAUGAGGUUUCAGCCAACAUCAACUUCUACAACAUUUGGGUAAAUAAAAAAGAAACCUAUCUCAGUAAAGGAGUGUCUGGACCAGAAAAAUCAUAUUUAAUGUACUAUGGCCAUAUAUUGGGUACUUAAAUUAUUCAAUAAGCACAGAAUUUUAUUUUAUCAAAAAAAUCUACUUUGAUUAGAAGUUCACGAGUUCUAUAAAAAUUCUAUGCCUUAGUCAUCUUCAAUUACUAGCUGCAAGCAAACAACUAGCUUCCAAAGAGUCUCAACUUCUCAAUAUCCUAUACUCUUUGAGCUCAAUUCUGCAUCCCAAAUUAUUAGUUUCAACAAAUACCAAAAGAAAAAUCACCAAUUUUGUUGUCUAAAUAAGCAACAAGUUAUUUUUUGUCAAUAAAUGAAAACGACAUGAUGGGGCCAUGAGCUCUAUUAUUUAGCCAUGGCAUCUCUCCAGCUUCGUCAACCGCCACACUUAAGAAUAUGCAAUAUGUUUUACAUAACAAUCCUACAAGAACAAGCAUUUAAAAGAUGUCAUUGUUAACCUACAAGCUUAGGCAAUUAACAGAAUUUGAAAAAUUUAACCUACUACAUGACACAACUAACAGCAUCUUAUGUAUGCAUAUGCUGUUCUAAACAACAGAUCGACACAUACUGAUAUGGUUGUAACACAGAAACACAAAAGCAUAGAAAAAAAUCAGAGAGUUAACAGGAAACAAAAUUGGGCGAGUCUGAAUAUGCUCAAGAAAGACUAAUAAAAACAAUGUUCUAUAUGCCAAUGGAAAAGCAUGGCAUCCCACAAUCACAAGUGUCGAGAUAGGAUGCAUCAGGAAAUGGACUAGAAUAGGAUGAGACAUCAACCUCCACAGUGUUGGUACAUGAGGCAUCCCAUUCCAUGGAAAACUGGGAAGGCCCCCAUCCCAAACUAUUUAAAACGUUGUGUAAAAAAGGAAAAAAAGAAAGAAAGAAAAAAAAAGUUAAUACUAGCGUCAUAAGACUAUAAUGAAAAACAAUAAUGCAUAUCAGCAUAAGCUAAAGCGAAGCAACGGAGGAAGGUGUAAACACACUUGAUAUCAUCAAAUAUAAGCAGCUACUACAUGGUUCCAAUUCCCAUAUGAAAGCCCUUAUUCCAAUGUAACUUCCCCCUUCAUCACAUUAAUUUUGGAUUUUUGGAAAUCGGGAAGCAAGGGAUGCCAACAAACAUGCAUCUACUUCAUUUAAAUAUGAAAUUCCUAAUUUUACUUUUUUUUUGGGUAACUAAAUUAAAAAAAAAAAAACUUUAGAGGAAGAGGGAACAACAUUCAAUCAAAAGUCAGAUACUAUAAAGGCUUAAGUGCCUGCUAAGCUACACAGCAAAACUCAUUAUAAUUAUAAGGCAAUUCUAGGCCUCUUUAGUUAAAGAUCUCAACAACGCAACCAUAUAUUCUAACUUGAAUGAGUGCAAGAUUAACAAGGCCAGCUAGUGAAAAACUUAAAGAGAUUUUUUUUCUUUUUUCUCCACAGAUUACAGGUUUUAAGGAUCACAGGUGCCAAGCAUAGCAAAUAAUAAGUUUAGCAUUGCAUAGCUCAAUAUCAAACAGUAGAUAACAGUAACACAUUUAGAUAACAGCAAUAGAAGUAUAAGCUAUUGUAUCACAACAUGGGAGGAGAAUGAGAGCAAUUUUAAGUACUGGACUAAGGAAAGGAUUCUACAAAGUCAAAGAAAAUAUGAGACCAUGAAGCCCUAUGAUGCUAGGAGAAUAGCAUUAAGAGGCAUCAUCCUCUUAAAAUUAGAGGAAAGGGCAAUGAUUUUGCUCCAGGUCCUUUGCUCAAGUAAGAGCAAUAAAAUUUAUUAUAUUAACUGACUACUAUAUAGAGCUAGAGGGCCCUCAUAGGUAUUCUUCUAAACUUAUAAUAUGUUUUUCAAAGAAAAGAUUAAACUACCAUUACUUUCCCCAUCCAUCACUUUGAAAUCAGUUCCCCUCUCUCGUUGGUAGUUGUCUCGUUCAUCCAAACGUCGUGGGGCUUCCUCCUGCCAAGGCUCCACCUCUUCCAUCACUUCCUUUUUGACCAGCUCCUCAAGCCUUUCCGCUCAAUGGCCCACCAUCAUCAUCAACAACUAUUAUGGCUCCCCACCAAAGACUUCUACCACUCAACCCAGUAUAUAUUAGAUUUCAUUGUCGUCGCCCUACCUUAAUUCCAGCCCAUCGUCCCCCAUCAUUCACCUCUACAAGGCCCAACAGUUGACUCAUCCCAUUUCCUGCCCUGCCUCCCACACCGGCAACUCCUUCCAAGGUAUCCCCUCCAACGGACCUCUUGCACCAUCAAAUGCCCUCGCUCAACCACCAUGUCCCCAUAUAGCAACUGCUACUCUGCCACCAAGCACCAUUUCUUCGAUUCCUCCUUCUAAUGCUGCCACUACCAUGUUAUCCACUCCUUAUACUUCUCCCACCUCCUCGGCAAGGAUGCAUGGCUUCGAUUCAAGGCUAUCGAAUGCUACCUCUAUGCCAAUUAUACCACCGAGAGUGAUAAGCAUACCACCUUUUUCCUCCAUCCUGUUUGCACAACCCUUUGGAGGGUGACCACAACCAAUCAUAACAUUUGGUGGUUGCCUAUUCCUUUAUCUUGUGGCUUUCUUUUCCUAUAUCAAAUCAAGUAAACCAAUAUAGUCUUUUGAUGUAGGUGGAGAUAGAAGGAUAUAACAAAAAAAUUGGUAAGGUGCAGAGAGCGAAAGAGAGAGAGAAAGAAGUGAUGGAUGGAAAGGAAGAGUAAUUUAAGGAUUGGAAAAACAAAAAUCAACCUUUUUCUUUGGAGGGCUACAAUAGUCCAUUUACAUAAGACAAAAUAUGGUGGCUCGAGAAAAGUGAAAUAGAUCUCUAGCAAUACGAACCCCUUUUGGAUUACAUGGAAAUUCUAGUCUAGCAAAAAACAAAGUCAAAGAGUCAAAUUCCAGGGCCUGGUUGGCAAAGACAAAUUUAUAACUCUACAAAUGAUAUGGAAGAAAGGCAAUCAAAUGCUGGAGAUUCAGACUAUCAGAAAAAAUUGUCUAUUUUUCUGAUACACCACAACCGUGCCUUACUGGUUGCCGAGUUUUGUAAUAAAUUAUGUGAUUCAUAAAAUUCUUUUAAUUCAUAAAAACUGAAAAACAAGCUCUAUUGCAAACAAGGCCCACAAGAUUUUUUAUUGUAGGCUUUCAGAAAACUUAAAAGCCUACCUAAGAACCAUCUACAAAUAUCAUGGCUAAGGAAUUACAUAUUCACGUAGACAAAUCAAUACAACAAGAAAAUUCAUAAUCCAAUCACAGUUCAAGAGACACCCAUUUUUUUUUUCAAAUUACAGCUAUAAUGGAAUGAACAAACAGCUAAUUUUUCACAUGCACAUCAAGCCACGUAUAAUUGGCUAAAACGGAUUCCCACCAUGUGACAACACUAAUCCAUAGGUUCAAAUCCAUACAUAAGAACGAAAAACACACUACGUACAUUCUGUAGAAUUUUUUUUUUUCAAUAUAUUGCACACCUGAUAAUUCCUUAUCGCAGGCUAACGCGUUUAUUAACAUUUUUAAGAAGUCAAAAAACAAACGAUUUUGAUUCUAGAUUCUCUGUCUCCAAGCCCAAACGUUUCGAUCUUUAUUGAAAAUCCACAAAAAAAAAUAGCAACUGAAUUCAUUCACGUCCCCAUUUUCUCCAAAUUAGAAAGAAAUAAUAGAAAAAAAGGGGAAAACCAAAUCAAGUUAGGUUUUUCGGAGUCCUUUCGAUCUAGGGUUUUAGGGAAUGGAAAGGGGCCCACUUGACUUUCAUACGAGCGAGGCGAUCGGCGACGGAGGUGUCCUUCUCCAUCUUCGGCUCCUUCGUCCCGAACGUAUAGCUCGACAGCGGGUAUGUGUUCACCACCGGCAACACUCCCAUCUUUCGCCCGCUCUUCGCCCCUCCCUCCCUCCUUCCCUCUCUCUCUCUCUCUCUCUGUCUCUCUCAGCGGACGGCGGAACGCCGGAAAGAAGUCCAAAGGAAGCGCUUUGAGCUGUUGUUCACGGAAAUGGGCAUCGUGGAGUCAUGUGUAAAAUUACUAUUUGACUCCGACACAUUUAAUACAAUGACGGUUGAGUCCCUGACUGCACACACUUAAAGCGGAGAAAACCGGAACUUGGGAAAGGCAACAGUGCUAUUAUUACUAGCCUAUAAUUAGAUUCUCAAUUAAAGUAGAAAGGUUGCUCUCAAUCUGAGCCGCCGGUCUGUCCUUCUUGUCAAACUUGCAAUCCUUGGCCAUAUGGUUAAUCCUACCACAAGAAAAAUAAUAGAUUGGUACAUGUCCAUAGGUGAAUUGCUGCUAGAACUUCCUCUUUACUUCAACGUCAAUACGAACCACUAGAGGUUCAUCAAGGUUCACCAAAACACAAGCGGUUGCAUAGUCCCGUUUCAACAAAGGUUAUUAAGCUACAAUGGUUUGUUUCCUUAUUGGGCAACCACCCAAAGGAUGACAUCUCUUUUCCAGUAUUCCAACAAGAGGUGAAAUGGUACAUCCAAAUAGUAGCUAAGUUGAUGGAAGGACGGGGGUUGUAUCUUCUUCUUCUUUCCUAUGAAUCUCCCGGUGGAUCGUGGAAUGGCCACUUUGAGUUCUAUACAUGUAAAUAGAUGAAGAAGUUUGGAAUGCUUUGAGAUCUAUAUAGAAUGUGAUUCAAUAAUUAAUAUCGUGAAAAAAGAUCAAUCAUUCCUUGAUACAACCUGAACUCUGAUUGAAGAUGACACCUUAAAUCAGAGUUUUUAUCACGGUGAACUAAAGCCCUGACCUCUUGCAAUGCAAGGAUCAGAUGCACCAACUUCCAUCACAUUAAUCUCUGUUCUAAAGCGGAAGAGAUGGGGGUUCCCACAUAGGAUUCAUCAACGUCUUCACCAAAUAAUCAUCUUUUGAUAUCCUCCUAAACAAGGCAAGCCACAAAUCCUUUCUCUGGUGUUGAAGCUUCUCAUGGUCCAACUUGAUAAUAUAAUUAAACGCAGAGCAGAACUCAUCUCCACGUCUUUUAACUUCCCAAGUAACCCGUCUUGAGUUCUCUCUAGCAACGCUAGCCCAAGAUCUUUUGUUCCUGAGGAGGGUAACCUAUAUCACACUCGCCAUCUACUAAUGCUAUCAGAAUGGUGGACAGGGAGGACUAAGUUCAGCUAGCGUUCCCAGAUUAGAAACCAUCGCCACCUCGCUGUUGUACAGGAACCAAGCCAAGCAAUCAAAUAUUCGAAUAGAGAAGCUAGAAUAAAAACAACCCAAAGAGAGACUGUGACUAGAAACUAAAGUAAUCAAACACUAAACAAGAUAGAAUUCCUUUCAGCAGGCAUGAAGAGUCCACAGUGAUUGAACACCAGAGGAACAGCCAACACCCAUAGAGCUCAGUUUGAGAAGAUCUGGGAUUAGUCCAAGCUUGAAUGCACCUUUCGAAUCGUUGCUCAGACCUUGCCAACAUCAGCAAGCUCUUUUUGAUUUCAUAGGAGGGACCAGUCAUUGAAAAGAUAAAUUCCUUUUGAGUGUAAUGAAAGCAAUAGUGCUUUUAUGAAGAUUUUUGCAUUCCUUUCCUUCCAGCAACACCAUAAUAUGGCAGCAAUGAGCAUAAGAAUUGCAGCGUGCAUAUCCUUGUAAAAAUGACAUGACAUGGCGUUUCUUCCAAGUUGUUGGAAAGAUUUUCUCCCGUUUGACACCUGAGUAAAGAAAUCUUUAAGGAAGCACUAGAAGUUUUACCAGAAUUGCUGAGCUUCAAAUAACUUUCACACCUAGUUGUAAACCAUCAUUACAUCUCACUUUCACUUAGUCCACUAUUAUAUUCGUAGUAAUUCAGAUGUGCAAAUUAAUGCAAGCUCCAAACGAGAAAUAUCUGACGGCUGUCGAGCAUAUCCUUCAAUUGCUCGAGGAUACAAUUACAUGGGAGUUUGUUUUGCUUGAAACCAGGCUCACUUGAUCUUUCUGAAAUGAUGAUGCUGAUUGGGUUGGGUUAAGUGAUCCACCAAAGGAUUCUGCAUUUUUCUUCGCCCAAGUACCAUCUUAUGGCCAUCCUAUUUUUAAGGCACUCAUGGGGGCUGGAAAAUUUCAACGUGCAGGACUCCAAGACUCUUGGAUUAUAACUAGAGUGGAUUAAUAAUUAAAUAUUGACCACUAUUAGAGUCUUAAUUAUUAAUUUAUGUUGUUAUAAUGACAAGUCAUAUAUAUGAUGAGAAUAAGGCUCGUCAUUACAAAUUCAUGCUGUUUAUGGAGUUAAAAUGUUUUUAAAAUUUCAAAUCUUUGUACCAGCUAAUAAAAGUACCAGCCGUUAAACCUUGCUAUAUGAUGAGAUUUAUUUAGAUAAAUAUAAAGUCAAGGGUCUAUUUGGCGUCACUUUCUUAUUUUUAUUUUUAAAGAUGAAAAAAUAUUUCUAAGACAGAAAACACAUUUGGCAUAAUUUUAUUUUUUUAAAAAUAAUUUUACUACUUCUCGAAAAAAUGAAAUUGAGAUAUUCUUUCUUUCAAUAUUUUCAAAAAUAAAAAAUUAUAUUAUACCAUCAUCUAAGCAUCAUCGUCAUCACCUUCACCACUACCAUCAUAACUGCCUCACCAUCUUUGCUGCCAUCAAUCCCAUGAUUAUUAUUGUCACCACAUCAAAUACCAACUUUCCAGCUACCAACUUUUCAGCUACUAACACCGUCAUUAUUGCCUCCACCAAUUCCACUACUGCCGCAACUAUCCUAAAGCUGCUUCCAUCAAGACCAUAAUUACCAUAACAACUAUUGUUACUGUCUCUGCUAAGACACUAUUGUCCCCCAUAUUACUACCACUAUUCACCACCAAUAACAUCAUGGACAUCGCUGCAUCAAUUAACACCAUCACCGUCUCACCACUAUUACUGCCGCAUACCACUGAUAUCACUAUCAAUGUGCCACUUUCACAUCUACCACCAUCACUGUCACAUUUAUAUUUUAAAAAUAAUUAAGUAUGCCAAGCAUAUUUAUAUUUUUAAAAUUAAAAAAGGGAAGUGAUGCUAAUUUUAAUAGCAAAGUGAUCCCAAAGUUAGCACUCAUCUACAAGCCUGGGUACAUCUGCGAGGAAUGAUGACUAAAAAUUAGUAAACAGGGAAACUCACUGAUGCCGUAUGACAAGGAAUAUUACAAAGAAAAUUACUAGGCAUAAUCCACCUUUUCCCUCCAUCCCCGUGUCGUUGUUGCGAUUGUCAACCAGGUGCAAGCGAACCGCAAAAAUAGCAUAAAGAAUAAGCAAUUAAGCAAGGGAUGGAUGCUCAUCGCCCUUCUGCUUGUUUAUGGAUGACCGCUCGUGAUUGCACGCAGGAACUUGAAGAGUCUGCAUUUUGACGCUGCCUGGAUGAACCCAUACUCAUCAUGCAUGAAAUCGUAACUCCGUCUGCCUCACCGAAAAAAUGAUAAAAACAAAAAUAAAUAAUAAAAAGCACACAGUGGAUCACUCAUUUUUAAACACGUCAAAAUUCGUAAACUGGCUAUGUGUCAGUACUUGGGCUGUCGGGCAUGUUUCAAUGCAUUUACAAGAACUAAAAGGCUAGAUGUCUUCAUAUUUCAAAAAGCAGGUGGUCCCCAACUUGAGGGCAUGGAUGUCCAUAAGGCAGAUCUUACGUGUAAUCAUAGUUAGAUUUCUUAUAAAUUGCCAUCGCAUCCUCCAAGCUUUACUUUGGCAAGUGUGAACAUGCUUCCACCUAAGGCCAGAUUUUUCAUUUUAUGCAAGUGGUUAACAAUGCUAGUGAGACAACCUGGCUAGAUCACAAAUUGGUAAUAGAAGAUGAACCAGCCCCAGUCAUACAGAUUAAGCUGCAUAUCCAAAUGGUCAGUCAUCACAGAUAUUCUCUUGUCAAACAUCUAUUGGAAGACAAACUCCUACAUUACAAAGAAGACAAACUUUUUCUAUCAAAAAAAAAAAAAGAGGACAAACUUUGAAUUCGCUUUACCGGCAAAUGAAACAGAGAUCAGUCCGGUAGACUAGAUGAAUGGUGCCCACUGUACUAGCAAUCCGAGGGUAGGGGAACUGGUGGUGCUUCCCAAUGGCAAACCAUGCAAAGAGAGAGUAUCUCAAGAUGUACAGACUGAAUUUGUACAAGAGAGAGCAUAAUGGAGUACUCCAGAUGGUAAAAAGGUUCGUCAAAAUUCUUUUGCAACGCUACAAACUUUGGCCAAACAAGGAAUAUUUAAGUGCUAUUUAUUUCAAAGGAAUAACUUCAUCUGCUUGUUUACAAACCUUCAUUCACGACUAGGUAACUUUUGACAUCAUCUCUAAUCUCUUUUAAGAUAUUCGAACAAUCUCUCGUCAACCCAUAACCCUGUUGGCUCCAGGCACUCCAGUGUCUCCAUGAUUGAAGCUUUGGAGCUGUUCGGCUUGAGAGAUUUUCCACAGGCCAAGGCCAUGCAACCAAGCCUAUCACUAUAAUAUGAGAAUUGCAAACCACAAGUUACAGGCGCGUGAAGCUUCCAUGGCAACCCAAUUGUAACCGGUAAAAAGAAUAAUAAGCUUCAUCCAAGGGCUUUCCAACAUUUACAUGAAAAAUCAAUUAGGUUGCAACCAGAAAGCACGCUGAAGGAUGAUUAUAUUAGGGAUGAUACAUUCAAGCAAAGCAGGCUCUCCAUCGGUAGCUGGACAUCCCUAGCUUCACAAGCAACCACACAAACAGCAUUAAGAGAAAUAUCAAGAAUAUCAGAUGUGAAAACAAGUUAGGAUGCAACAUGUUGACUUCCUGUAAAAACCAUGUGAUUCAAGGAGUGAAAUAUCAAGUCCUGGUGGUGUGCCAACCUUGCAUUGAUAUGUCACAUGCCAUGCCGAGCCAGGCCAUUCGUUGGUGCACACACUGGCACCACAGCAUGCCCAAGUAUCGGCAGUCAACUAAUACGUGUUAGUGUCAUGUGCCAUUAAGGCAUUGGCAUAUGCAUCGUGCAGUGCCAUGCUGAAUGGCACUCAAGUCCAUCUAUGAUUCAGAUAUCUGGGGCAUGUCUGCACAUCUCAUCACCAUGUUCAUGAAAUAUCUUUUGUGCAGACGAGAAUUGCUAAGCACAGAAUUGGAUGGAAGAGACGUGAGAAGUGAUUGGUGGAGGCAAUUUUUCCUCAAACUCAGGUUUCUGGGUACGAAAUUAUGCCUAAUAUGAUGAUUUAAGAUAAUCCUGAAAAAUCAUUUAAGACUCCAGGAUUUUUGGCCUCCCAUAUUCUCUCCAUGCUUUCCCACUUGUAGUGGAAAGAUCCCAUGGAUAAACAUUGUUAGACAUCCAAUUUGGCUCUAAAAUUGUUAGCAGAUUUGAAACACACCAACCUUUCAGAAACCGAUGUUCAUAAUCAUCUGGGCUGCACCACUCUGUAAUUGAGCACCAAAUCUUCAGACUUCUUCCAUAUGUAAGUUCUGACAGUGGCCAAACUCAUUUCAGGUGAUAAGACCUACAUCACAAGGAACUGCAUUAGAAGUAGAUGAAAAGGGCAAAAAAAAAAAAAUCUAUAAACAACAGAUAGAGAAUGAAGACAAUUUUCAGCUCACUAUUUUCAAAACUUCACCCUUUUUUAAAGGGAAUUCAAACAUGCACCUUUACAAGCCCAAUACAUAGUUCUGAGAGAGGAAGGGUUACCAACCCGCACUUAAUAAACCAAGUUCAGAUUUUCGGGAUACACCACCAAGAAUCAAAGCCAGAACCUCUUGUUGCUAAGAAGAUAGGUGUGACCAAUGGGGCAACCCCAGUUUACAAACCCAAUAGAGACUAUAUAGUUCAAAAUGUAACCAUUUUUCAUAUACUAUAUUUACUCUGCAGCAUGUUCCUAUUCUAGUUUUUUUGGGAAUGAAUUGUCAACGAACUUCAAACUAAAUGCCAAAGUUAAAAGAACAAACUAUGUUGAUGUGCUCUCCAAAUGCCUUAAUGGGUAAUCAUAUAUAUUCCAUGAUAUGGUAAUACUUUUGACAACUCAUGCUAACUCUAUAUUAACAACAUAAUCAUAUUAUAAGUAGAAGCCAAGGAUGAGAAAUGAAAAUGAAUGAUAAGCCAAAAAAUCAACACAGAAUAGACUAAACCAAAAUUGCUACAAACGUUGAUAGCAGAAGCACUUUAUCAUAAGCACAUAAGCAAUUUUAGUUUGGCACUUUAUCUAAAUCUAGUUUGGUACUUGAGUUCAUGUCCAUAUUUGACCAAUUCUGAUACAUAAGCACAUUCAGCCAGAGUUUAUCCAUCCAGUUUCCAAUGCUAGCAACCAAGAAAAUAAUAAGUAUCACGCUUGUGGCAAACAAUCUCACUAUUCAAUUCUAGAAUAGAGAAGCCCCAAGAUGCCAAUUUGUCUCACGUUUGCUGUUAAUAAACUCAUGGCUUUCAGUCCUAGAACAGAAAACAAAACCUUACAAUUCCAUUCUGGACAGUUUCUCCGAACUUGCCUGAUUAUUGCACAAGAUUUCUAUAGAUGGCUUUAGCUUUUGCCAUGGCUUUAUCCCUGACCGCAAGUAACCAUCUGCAAUGGAUGAAAGCUGUGAUUGCCCGGUACUCAAUCCUAAACCAAAUGAUCCAUCAGAGCUACCAGCAUCAGUUGGUUUAUCAAGAACCAUUUUUUCGAUCACAUAGUUUAUCACCUACAGUGUAAAGAAAAGGCACCUGUCAACAACAAAACUAAGAGAUGCACAGGAAGUUAACAUACAAAAAUUAACCUAUUGGAAAAAUCGGGAAAAAGAGUGACUUCUCAUAGAAAGGGGAUAAGAAAAGGUCAUAUUAAGUAACAUGCUCAUAUUCAGAAUUAUCACAAGCUGAUAGCGUGCAUGAAACAAACAUGAGAAUUGCAAAGCCUUUUAGAUUUCCCAUGAACUAUUGCUAAAAAAUAUGAAGCUUAAUUGAUAAAGUUAAGAUGCUCCAGUUUUAGACAUAAUUUUCCCAAACAAGAUGGUCUAGGAAAUUAAGCUGGAUAAAUAACUCGGGCAACAGAUCUUAUGAGAAUGUAGCCAAUGGGUGCUUAACAACUAAGGAAACCAACUGACUACUUACUUUGUGUAUCCGCAAUAUCCGUGGAGCACUCAAUUUCCCCUGUGUGUGGAUUUGCACAUUCGAACCUUCACAAGGUUGCAAAUAAAAACUACACCUGCAGGGGAGAGAAAAUAGUCAAGAUCACUAAAGAAUGAAGUCAAGAUAACACUUGCCAAAGAAAGUUCAAUGUAACCUUUCUCUUUAAUUCUCGUUCCAGGAAGGUGGGUGGUACCUUUAAUAAAGACUAUACUACUAUCAUUGUCUCCACCUAUGUUUAGCAAAACAGCCAUAACCAAAAAUCUGAAGUCAGAGCAAAAUAUUAAAAAGAACAGCAAAAUCUAGGAUGUUGAAACCUGGAGGCUAAAACUAAACAGACGCCAUUAGCAUGGUCAAAAUUUUAAAUCCUGUGGGAUAGGGCUGUUCCGAUUUUCCGAUAGCAUGGGAUGUACUGCCAUCCCAUCCUAUUCUGAUAUUUGGGACAGAAGAUGUCCCAAGACAUCCCGAUUAGAACGCUAGAAUGCUAACGGGAUGACCCUAUCAAGAUUUUAAAUCCUAUGUGAUGGAGGUGUCCCGAUUUUCCCAUAGAAUUGGAUGCCCCAAUGUCCCGUCCUGUCCCGACAGCAGUCCCGAUCAUGUGACCUAAUAGAUAUCCUCCAUCUCUCUCUCCUGAUUCUUUUCUUUUUUCUUUUCUUCUUUUUCUUCUACCUUUCUUUCUUUCCUUAUCCCUUCCUUUCUUUCAUUUUUUUCUUUUUCUUUCUUCCUUUCUUUUUCUUCUCUUCUUUCUUUCAUUUUUAUUCUUCUUCUUUCCUUUCACUUUUUUUAUUUUCUUCAUCUUUCCUUCCUUUUUUUUUCUUCUUCUCUACCUGUGUGGAUGGGUUUUGGAGUUCCGACCCUGUCCUAAUCCCAUUUUUUCACAAAAACAGAACGAGAUGGCCAGGAUGCCCUCCGUCCCGCUGGGACAUAAAACCUUGGACCCUAUCCUAACACAUGAGAUAGUACCCCGUCCCGGUGUCCCACGGGGCAUCCUGCUCAGAACUGAAUCUUUAAGGAUGGUUACCCCUUAAUAACUGAGCUAGUUGGAUACCAGGCUAAGAUACUGACUAUAGAUUAUGGUGCUAGAAAUGUGGACAAGUUGGGAUUUUACGAAAGGGAAAGAUUAAGUCAAGUUUGGCAAAUAAAGUUAUAUAUAUUUUUCAUAACAUUUGUAAGCGAUCUAUCUUGUAGACUGUCUAAUAAUUGAAUUAAGCACAUCCAACAUUACAGAAAACAUUAGAUAAAACAAGAGUUUAUGAAAAGAAGCAGUGGACUAAACUGCGCAUAUAAAUGAAAAUUUAGAUUCUUAUACACUUUUGUCAAAAACUUCCUCUUAGGCUCAGUUGUCAUGACACACGCUCAUAUAGAAAGAUCUUGCAUGUGUAAAUACACUAAUAACUUAUAUCAUACUAGCCUCAAAAUACAAUAUCUAGAUCUUGUUUCUCUUUCCUAGACAAGAAACAUGUCUACAAAAAUCAUAUUAACUGGGGUAAGCAUCACGAAGGCAGCGGUGAAGAAUGAAAGCAGUAAAGCAAGCGGAUUUUUUACCACAAUAAUGUUAUUUUUAAAACAAUUUACCAAAAUAAUGUCUUUUCAAAAGUAUUUACCAAAAUACUGUCCGAGGCAAAAUCGCCCUAUCAUAGGGCGACUUUCUGUACUGACUCAGCACGCCCAACGUCAGGUUAGGUGGAUACGUUGGACAACAAAAUUGCCUUAUGAUAAGGUCACUCAUAGAAUCGCUUUGAGUCGCCCUCUCAUAGAGCGACUUAACAUGACUUAGCCAAAAAAAAAAACCCAACCUCCCUCUUCUCCGACGCGAGAAACCCCCAAUCCCCGGCAGCCUCCCUCCUCUCGGCCUGCCCCCCUCCCUUUUCUUCCCCGGCACGAGAACCCUCCCUAGUCAGUUGAGUUUUGGUAAAUGUCUUAAAAUUUCUUGGAGGGAGGGCUGUCGGGGAUUGGAGAGGGUUCUCGCACCAAGGAGGAGGGAGAGGGGGGGCAGGCUGAGAGGAGAAAGGGCCAUCAGGGACCGAGGGGUUCUCACAUCGGGGAAGAGGGAGGUUGGGGUUUUUUUCUUUUUUUGGCUAAGUCAUGUUAAGUUGCUCUAUGAGAGGGCGACUCCAUCUUAAGGCGACUCUAUAAGUCGCCCUAUCAUAAAGCGAUUUUUGUUGUUCAACGCGUCCACCCAACCUGACAUUGGACGUGCUGAGUCAGCACAGAAAGUCGCCCUAUCAUAGGGCGAUUUUGCCUCCGACAAUAUUUUGAUAAAUACUUCUGAAAGGACAUUAUUUUGAUAAUUAUUUUAAAAAUAGCAUUAUUUUGGUAAAAAAUCCAAAGCAAGCAGAUAGGUUUUUUUAGGUAAAUUCAUAUCAAGCAUGCAUGGUAUGUUUUCCAAACAAAAGUGUUGUACGGGGACAGCCAAAGGAUUGGAUCAUGCAAGGCAAAAGAAAAGUGCUUAGGUGGAUGUCGAGGUAUAUAAUAGUUAGAUAAUAUUCAAAGAUUAUUAGAAAUCAAUAAGCAUAUAAAACAAGAGUAUUAAAAAAUAAAUCAGAACUAAACGAAAAAAAAUAUGGGGAUCAUCAUCGAUAAUUUUAUAAAAUGUAGUUAAAAAAUAAAAAUACUGACCGUUAUAAACAUAAUGCAAUAAGCAACUUAACAAAAUGAUGAUAAACAAUAUAGAAUUAGAAUGAGAACUGUUAGAUGUAUGUCCUAGAAGCUAAUCGGGCUGACACAUUAAUUCUUUCUAGGACAUAAUUUCGUACUUAAUCUAAUUAUUUAGGAUAGUUAAUUACUAUUCAUGUAGUGUAUGUGUCCAUGAAUCGUCCAAUGAAUUAACAAGAUAAUGACACAUAUUCUCAAGAGUUGAGAAUUUAAGGCAUGUGUCAUUGGUGGUUAAUUCAUAAACUGCUCCCGAUCAUAGAAUCAUCACGAAGAUGGUGAUUGAUUCAGAUAGAUUGGUGUAUGGAUCACUUCUUUAUGGAUAGAUGAGUCUCGAAUCUACAGUAUGGGGACACUGAACGAAAGUGCAGGCACUUGUUAGAGAAUAAGAGUGCUAAGCGUGACCAACACGAAAAAUCAUUUGGAUGUCUACUCACUCGUCGGUAACAUUCUCGAUGCUGUAAUAGGAUGAAUGGUACUUUGACCUGCGAUGCUUCUACUAUUCACAAUGAAGUUGCUGUAGUUUGACUACACCAUAACUUAGUCUCCUAACCAUAUAAAGUCUUGAGGUAUAUAUUGGCUGCAAUAGGUUUAUUGUAGAAAUAGGAUGUGUAUCUAGAUGGGAUCUAUCGAUCUUAAUAGAAAAGGAGAAUUUUUAUGCGAUUCACGAGACUGAGUUCAAAAAAUCUUUGACCAAAGCAAGUAUGAAUACUAAAAAAGAGUUUUCACAAAAAUUUACAAGUGAACUCGAAUCGAGCCAAUCUUGCAUAUGACAGACGAUUAGAUUUGACGAAUUUUUCAUCACCUCCAUCUUAUCGAAACUCAUGAUAGAAGAACUUAAUCACACGGUAACUACACCUAGUGGUUUAUUACUUCUAUUCUGCUGGUUGCCACUACAUACUGCUAGGUGUCACUGGUAGAUCGUGAGACUCGUCGAAUGUCAUCUUGAUGAUCGAUGACCCUUGAUGGACAGAGUUGAAAUUGUUCCAAUCCAUUGAAAGGAGUUUCAAUGAUAUUUUGAUGGAGAUCAAAAUAUAUCUGAAUACCAGACAGAAUAGUACUUAUGGGAUCACACAUAAAGAGUAACUAACUGAUCGGAAUGUCGAAUAGCGAUUUUGAAUCGCAAAAGAAUCCAAUUAUCAAUGUGAUUGAUGAUUGGACUAAUAUGUAAAAGUUAUAUGAAGAACUUGCUAAAAGUUAAUAAGUUAUAGGAGGAUCGAAAAGAGUCCCACUGUACUGGAACUCUAGAGUCCCAAUGGACUGGGACUCUAUCAAAUUGCAAUUAUUGCUAAUUAUUUGAUUUGAUCAAAUAUGGGCUGAAGUAAAUCAGAUUGGAUCUGAUUAGAUUUGAUUUAAUUUGAAUUUUUCAAUUCAAAUAGGAUUAGGACUUAAUUCCUAAUUGAGUUUGACUCAAUUUAGAUUCGAACCGGAUUGAAAUUAAAUUAGGAAACCAAAGUCCCAUUGCAUUGGGACUCUCUCACCUUAUCCACGCAUGGGACGCCCAACCAAAUUACCAGAAGAAUAUUAUGGCGUGGAGAAAAAGUGGGGCGCAAAAAGGAUGGGGCGGUGGAAAGAGAAGAGUCCUCUUUUAAGGACUUUAACCAACUCCAUCUAAAUCCUAACCUAACCCUAAUUGUUAGGGAUAAAAAGCGGGCACCUCUCAUCAGAUCACAUGGUGAUUAUGAUGCUUGGUAUGGCAUGAAGACAAGGGGAAAAAGGGAUGCGUGCGUGAGGAAGCUAGGAAGCAAAAUCAGAUUGGCAUGGUGAGUUUGUUAGGCUUCAUGUCAAGCAUGCAUGGUAUGUUUUCCAUACAACAAGUGUUGCAUGGGGACAGCCAAAGGAUUGGACCAUGCAAGGCAAAAGAAAAGUGCUUAGGUAGAUGUUGAGGUAUAUAAUAGUUAGGUAAUAUUCAAAGAUUAUUAGAAAUCAAUAAGCAUAUAAAACAGGAGCAUUAAAAAAUAAAUCAGAACUAAAGGGAAAAAAAAUAUGGGGGUCAUGAUUGAUAAUUUUAUAAAAUGUAGUUAAAAAAAUAAAAAUACUGACUGUUAUAAACAUAAUGCAAUAAGCAACUUAACAAAAUGAUGAUAAACAUUAUAGAAUUAGGAUAGGAACAACUUGUCAAAAAUUAGUAAAAUUUGUAAAUUGUAACCAUUGGUACUAGUCAGACAAAGGAGGUCAUAACUUGCUCAUUAGACCCACCUAACAUCCCAAACUACCCCAGCAUAACCCCUGUUAUCCAUCUCCCCGAUAGAUACACACAAGCGCGCACAUGCAUUUGCAGCAAAAUGGAAAACUUACCAAGGCUGGCUAGGCUUGUCAAGCCUCUUGAGCACAUACAAGGUAUCAUGCCACAUAUAGGAACCACCUAGGAGAUCCACCUAACAUCCCAAACUACCCUCACAUUUCCCCUGCCCUCGACCUCCGCAACACACACACGCGCGCGCACGCACAUAUACAUGCUGUAAUACCCAACCCACUAACCCACCAAGAAAAAAGGCCCAAAUAAAAGCAAAAAAAAAAGGGCUCCACAAGACUUUUAAACCACAAAAAAAAAGAAAUGGAAGGAAGAAGACUCCCAAUGAGUCUUCUUCUCCCAAAAGGACUUGAUCAGAGCCAAAAAUCGUAAGCUCCCCUCUAUAAGAUGGAACCCCACACCCUUCCAUGACCAUCCACCGCUGAAUCCCUCUUCCUCUCCUUGUUUCUGCCUCUUUCUUCUUUUCUUUUCAUGAUCGACCAUCACCGUGCACAACGAAACCAGUGGCCCAAACAUCACUAAGAACAAGGUAAAUCUCUCAAGAAACCUUCCUUCCAAUUCUCCUUGAUUUAUAGGCUGAGAUUUCAAUGGAUUGUUACCGAUUUUCCUUGGGAAAAAUCGGAUUUCAAAUGCUCUAUUUUUUCCCUUUCGUGUUGCUUUGAUUUCGGUGCCAUCCAUCACUAUUGAUCACCGAACUAGGGACCAAUGGCCGCAUCAUCAUGGAUCACACCCCUAGCCAUCAUCUCUAGGCAAGACCCCUUGAGUUCAGGGGAGAAGGGGACUCAAAUAAGAUCCCUUGUUUGCCUAAACAAAAAAAGAAGCAGAAGACAGGAAAAAAAAAAGAAAAGAAAAAGGAAAAAAGGAGAGAGAGAAAGAGAGAGUUUCUCUCUCUUCCCUCUUCCUCUCACCUUUCUCUCUCUUUCCACUUUCUAUCUCCACUUUCUCUCUCUAGUUUUCCUCUCUACUUUCUCUCUAUACAAUAUUCUCUCUAAAAUUAUUUCUCUAUGAAAUUUUAAGAUUAGUUCAAUGAAGGAUUUUUUUCAAUAAUUUUGAUCGAUCUUAGUGAAGGGUUCCAAUCUGCCACCAUCGAACAGCAUGCCGAUACCCAUCUUGAUCAAACUAAAUACCAUUAGAUUUGAUCACCCAUGAUAUUUAUUCAACCAUCUCUAUAUUAGUUUAACCAUGAUUUGAUGAAAUCACUUUGAUCGAAUCGAUCGGAAUGUCGGACAGUAUCGCCUGAUCAACCUUAUUCCAUCUUGUUAAUUUUUCUCCUCUGAUAUUCUCUCUCUACUUGAUUUAUGAACCCAAUGAAGCAUCCCGGACCAACUCAAAUCGUUGAAUGCAAUUAUCCAUGAAUCAUAUCUUUCUUAAUUAUCCAUAUUUUUUCGAAUUAAUGGACUUAAUUCUAUGUAGGGAUAUAGUCAACUCGACAAAAAGAUGUCCAAUAGUGGGAUAUUACAAUAUGAUUUAUGAAUUAAAGAUUUUGAAAAAAAAAUUAUAAAAUUAUGUGGACUUGCUAGAAUACGUAUGAGAUAAGUAAUGCUGCACUUGUUUUAGAUUUAUCGAUAUAUUAUAAAAAAAAAUUAUUGAAUUAUUUAUGAUUUAUGAAUCUGAUGUACAUAUUUUGAAUUAUCGAAUAUAUCUUUUUUUUCAAAAUAUUAAGUGAUUUAUGAUCGAAUGUAUUGAAUUUGAUAUGAAUCAUACUAAUAGAUUUCGAUGUCAUAUGGUUUUAUGAAUUAUUUGAUUUGAAAUAUGAAAUAUGCUUUUAAAGAAAGCACAUUGAUUUGAGAUGAAUUUUGACUCACAGUCGGACUAUGUAUCGAACUCCACCAGUAGGCGUUAAAUGCUAGUACUAUGAUAUCUUAUCAAUGGGACAAUUAAAUACUGAUACUUUGAUACUCUAUCAAUGAGAGUUGUGCGCUGGUAUUUUGAUACUCUACCAAUGAAGCGGUUAAACAUUGAUAAUUUGAUACCCUGUCAAUGAGGGUUAUGCGCUGGUACUUUGAUUUAGUUCAUGGCUGUCAAAAUGAACACGAUGUUUUAAAAAAAAAUCAAUUUAUAAACGAAAAUGAAUUCGCAUGGAUCAUAUUUUGAUUAGUGCUGUAUAUUUUGAAUGGAUGCAUAUGCAUGCUUUUUUAGCAUAUUAUUACUGCUUAAUUUAUCUAGCUAAAGUAUACACAACUUACUAGUUGUUUAGCUCAUUACUCUAUAUUUACUAUUUUUACAAAUUCAGAAGACUAGAUUGACUUGAAGAUUCAUUAUGGAAGAAAGAACUAAAGACAAUUUGAUAUUUUUAUUUUAGAUUAGGAUUUAUUGAAAUUUGAUGCACUAUGAAAAAUUAUUUUGCAAGACAUUUUAUUAAGUCAUUUGAACUAAAGUUGAAUGUUAAUUAUUUGAAUUUUGUUCCAUUAUUUCUUUAUGAUAUCGUGAUGAGAUAUCUUGUAUGCUUGUGGAAAGAGUUCUCCAUAAGUAUGCCGUGGUUGCCGUGACCCUUUGACUCGCGAUCUCGAAUCGAGAGCAUGACAAUUAAUAUGAUAUCGGAGCAUAAGUGGAUAAAUUAUUAAACAUAGAAUAAGACAUAGGAUGAGUGUAGAUAGAUAGACACUAGGGACAUCAAAAUAUAGAUCUAUGAUGAUUGCAGCAUACAUUAUCUUCAUGAUUUUUGACUAACCCUUGUGAUGAUGAAUGAAAAGAUUGCUUAGGAAUAAUACUUCAGAGGGUUUGAUAUAUGAUGGAUAAUCCGGGAUAAUGCUAUGAGUAAUUGGAUUUUGAUCUGAAGUAAUUGCAAGAGGAUUGGUCAUGAAAUUUUAUUGUGCAUUGUGAUUAUUAAUUUAAUCAUCAAUUGUUUAAAUGAAUUGCAAGCUCAAAUUUGAUAUGGGAGUAUACCGUAAUAUUGCUUAGUUUUGAAAUUUAUUAUUUAGUGACAAGCUAGGGUUUAUUUGCAAUAAUGUGUAAAAUACUGGACUAAAAAAAAUUUUAUGAUAUCCGAUUAGAAUAUUCUUCAAAGCCAAACCUGAUACAUGGAUCAUAUAUAAACCGGCAUAUAAGAGGAAUAUACAUCUGAGAAUAUUGCAAAUAAUUAUGUUCUUAAUGGAAGGAAAUCGAUUUUGUUUGAGGUUAUAGAGUAUUCAUCUUGGUGGAUCAUUAAUAGUUUUAGUUACCAUCUUUAGAUCCAAAUAAUAGAUCUUGUUUAUGACUAUUAGAGACUAUAUGGCAUGUAUGAAACUUCAAUUCAAGAUAUGGGUUUAUAAAUUGAUCUAGAGUUUCUUUUUGCCAUUAUUAUUGAGGUCCGUGUUAAAAUCUAGUAUGUCAUGGAGAAUUUGAUUUCAAAAGGUUUGCAUGAUUACUGUGGAGAAAGUAUUUGCUAGAUAUUAAAGUACUUGAGGAAAAGAACUCUAGAAAAGAUAAUUGAAUCAGUUUUACAUAUGUGUUUUGAUUUAAGUCAUAACUUGGUGGAGCAAUCAAAAUGUUUUUCUUAUUGAUUUUACUUACAGGAUUUUAUUUUGGAAUUGUCUAAUUGAAUUGACAAGAGAACUAAGAUUUGAUCCAUAUCGAAUUACAGUAAACCUAUACGAUGGUUUGAAUGUGUUAACAAACUCAGGGGAUGUGUUCGAUGCAUAUUGGGGACAAUAACUUAUAUUGACUGUGAUAUAACUUAGAAAUCUAUAUUUGACAUCAAUAUGUUGAUGGAUUUAAAUCAAAGUACUCAGUAGAAACAUAAUGGUCUGAAUUAUGUUUAAGCUAAUCAAAACAAUAAUUUCAUUUGAAAGAUGAUGUGAUGAAAUACUUGUUUUUAGGAUUAGAUAAUAACUUGAGGAAGUAAUUCCAAACUUUUAAGAACUUGAGCAAGAAAAAUUUCAAGAAUAAAAUUUCUUUUUAAGAAGGGAAAAUGUAAUACCCAAUCCAUUAACCCACCAAGAGAAAAGGCCCAAAUAAAAAGGGCUCCGCAUGACUUUUAAAGCACCAAAAAAAGAAACGGGCAGAAGGAAACUCCAAUGAGUCUUCUUCUACCAAAAGGACUCGAUUGGAGCCAAAAAUCCUAAGCACCCCUCUAUAAGAUGGAACCCCCCUCCUUCCACGGCCAUCCAUCGUUGAAUCCCCCUUCCUCUCCUUGUUUUUCUCCCUCUUUCUUCUUUUCUUGUUCCCAAGCAACCAUCAACGUGCCUAAUGAAAUCAAUGGCCCACACAUCACUAUGAACAAGAUAAAUCUCUUAUGAAACCUUCCUUCCAAUUCUCCUUGAUUCAUAGAUUGAGAUUUCAGUAGAUUGUUACCAAUUUUCCUUGAAAAAAAUUGGAUUUCAAAUGCUCUAUUUUUUUCCCCUUCGAGGUUGCUUUGAUUCCGCACCAUCCGUCGACAUUGAUCACCAGACCGAGGACCCAUGGCCACACCGCCAUGGGUCGCACCCCCGGCCAUCAUCUCUCAACAAGAGUCCCCUUGAGUUCAGGGGAGAAAGGAGUUCAAAUAAAAUCUCUUGUGUUGCCUAAACAAAGGAAAAAGAAAAAAGAAAAGAAAAGAAGAAAAAAGAAGAAGAGAAAGAAAGGGAAAAAAAAGGAGAUAGAGCUUCUCUCUUCCCUCUUCCUCUCACCUUCCUCUCUCUUCCUACUUUCUCUCUCUAGUUUCUCUUUCUAUAAUAUUUUCUCUAAAAUUCUCUCUAUAAAGUUCUCUCUCUAAGAUUAGUCCAGUGAAAGAUUUUUUUUUUCUAUGACUUUGAUUAAGCUUUAGUGAAGGGUUUCGAUCCACUAUCGUCAGACAGUGUGCCGACAUCCAUUUUGGCCAGACUAAAUACCAUUAGAUUUGAUCACCCAUGAUAUUUAGUGAACCAUCUGUACACUAGUUUAACCAUAAUUUAUUGAAAUCACUUUGAUCGAAUCGAUCGAGAUAUCAGACAGUAUCACCUGAUCAAUCCUAUUUUAUCUUGUUAAUUUUUCUCCUCUGACAUUCUCUCUACUUGAUUUAUGAACCCAAUGAAGUAUCCUGGACCAACUCAAACCAUUGGAUGUGACUAUUCGUCAAUAAUAUCUUUCUUAAUUAUCCAAUUCUUUUUAAUUAAUGAACUUAAUUAUGUAUAGAAGUAUAGUCGUCUCGACAAAAAGAUAUCCAAAAGUGGAUUAUUGCGAUAUAAUUUAUGAAUUAAAAAUUUUGAAAAAAAAUUAUGAAAUUAUAUAGAUUUGAUGGUGUGCGUAUGAAGUAAUACUGUACCUUUCUCUAGAUUUAUCGAUAAAUUAUAAAAUAUUUUUUAUUGAAUUAUUUAUAAUUUAUGAAUCUGAUGCAUGUAUUUUGAAUUAUCGAAUAUAUUCUUUUUUCAAAAUAUUAUGUGGUUUAUGAUCGAAUGCAUUGAAUUUGAUAUGAAUCAUAUUGAUAGAUUUCGAAUAUUGCAUGGCUUUAUGAAUUAUUCAAUUUAAAAUAUGAAAUAUGUUUUUAAAGAAAGUAUAUUAAUUUGAAAUGAAUUUUGACUCGC